UUUGUUAGUAGAUACAAUGUCUCACUGGUUCCGUCACAUUGCAGAGGGAGAGCCUUGUGAUACUUACCUUAAACUAUCAUCAGGUGAUCUGGCUAGACCUCUGAGAUGAUAGAGACACAGUGGAGCACCUUUGACAAGAUGAUGCUCUCUGUGUCCAGAACCUUCAAUCUAUUGCUGACUAUAUUCACUCAGCAGGGGAUUUAUUGACAAGAGUAGAGGAAGCUGUUGAGAGGUUCUUGUAUUGGGACGAAGAAGUAAUGGUAUGAAGCAGUUACUUCAAGUCCCAGUAGUCAUGAUGCCCCAGUCACUGGUGGAGUAGCAGAUGAAGUGUUUGAUGACAGUGGU